CAAAAUAUUGUAUUAUGGAAAAAUUUCAGUUCCAUAAAAUAUUAAAUUUUUUUUUUACUUGUUUUAAAAAAAAAGCAAAAAAUAAUAAAAAAAAAUAAAAAUCCGUAAGUUAAGAAAAUCCGAGAUCCCUGGGAUCCUGGUUCUAUAUGGCUAUAUGUAUAUAGAUAGCUAUGUAGUACAUCUAUGAUGACAGUUUUUUGGGUUAUAGUGACAGUUUUUUUGGGUUAUAGCUACAGCUGUGUAUAUACAUUUUCUUCAUAUAUAUAUAUAUAUAUAUAUAUAGCCGAACUAAAAACAUAAUGGGCCCAAACAAUAGAAAUGGUCGACCUCAGUCCUCCGCUUCCAUCACUAAACCUCAUGUUUUCUUUCCUUUGGGUUGCUGCACAAAAUAAUCCGGGUCGGGUCAAAAGUCGAGUAUUGAACAAGAAUUUGAGACAUAUGUACAACCCUUAGAUUCAACAUUUUAAUUAAAAUUAGUGCGUGCCAUUGAUUGAGAUCAGAAAGCUUGAUGAUUUUUAUAUCUAGGGUGUGACAGAUCAAAUUUUAGGCUAAUGACAUUUGCAAAUGAUGUUGGAUUUGCACAUCUUACCUUAAAAGUUGCCAGUAAAUGGACAAAGAUAUCUGCCAUUACCAUAAAGUCCAUUGCUAGAUUGGUACGCGAUAAUUGAAGGGGCGAGAUGGGAAGGGAUAGCCGUUUAGAGAUCGACCUUGUCAUUGGCAUUAUGAUCAGCACAAAUGACUGCUCUAGAUUGAGAUUAAUAAAUUACAACUUUUACAUUUUACCAAACAGGAAAUAA
rnacentral:lncRNA from 1 species